rnacentral:rRNA from 1 species
CUACGUGCCAGCAGCCGCGGUAAUACGUAGGUGGCGAGCGUUGUCCGGAUUUAUUGGGCGUAAAGCGAGCGCAGGCGGUUAGAUAAGUCUGAAGUUAAAGGCUGUGGCUUAACCAUAGUACGCUUUGGAAACUGUUUAACUUGAGUGCAGAAGGGGAGAGUGGAAUUCCAUGUGUAGCGGUGAAAUGCGUAGAUAUAUGGAGGAACACCGGUGGCGAAAGCGGCUCUCUGGUCUGUAACUGACGCUGAGGCUCGAAAGCGUGGGGAGCGAACAGGAUUAGAUACCCUGGUAGUCCACGCCGUAAACGAUGAGUGCUAGGUGUUAGGCCCUUUCCGGGGCUUAGUGCCGCAGCUAACGCAUUAAGCACUCCGCCUGGGGAGUACGACCGCAAGGUUGAAACUCAAAGGAAUUGACGGGGGCCCGCACAAGCGGUGGAGCAUGUGGUUUAAUUCGAAGCAACGCGAAGAACCUUACCAGGUCUUGACAUCCCGAUGCCCGCUCUAGAGAUAGAGUUUUA